rnacentral:rRNA from 1 species
UUGGAGGGCAAGUCUGGUGCCAGCAGCCGCGGUAAUUCCAGCUCCAAUAGCGUAUAUUAAAGUUGUUGCAGUUAAAAAGCUCGUAGUUGAAUUUCGGGAUCAAUAUUUCGGUCAUGCCGUUGGUAUGCACUGUUAUCAUUGAUUUCUCACCUUCUAAAGAACCGUAAUGCCAUUAAUUUGGUGUUACGGGGAAUUAGGACUGUUACCUUGAAAAAAUUAGAGUGUUUAAAGCAGGCUCACGCUUGAAUACAUUAGCAUGGAAUAAUGAAAUAGGACAUCCGAUUCUAUUUUGUUGGUUUCUAGGAUCGAUGUAAUGAUUAAUAGGGAUAGUUGGGGGCAUUAGUAUCCAAUUGUCAGAGGUGAAAUUCUUGGAUUUAUUGAAGACUAACUACUGCGAAAGCAUUUGCCAAGGAUGUUUUCAUUAAUCAAGAACGAAAGUUAGGGGGUCGAAGACGAUCAGAUACCGUCGUAGUCUUAACCAUAAACUAUGCCGACUAGGGAUCGGAUGAUGUUAAUUUUUUAAUGACUCAUUCGGCGCCUUACGGGAAAC